AGUGAACGCUGGCGGUAGGCCUAACACAUGCAGGUCGAACGGCAGCACAGUAAGAGCUUGCUCUUACGGGUGGCGAGUGGCGGACGGGUGAGGAAUACAUCGGAAUCUACUUUUUCGUGGGGGAUAACGUAGGGAAACUUACGCUAAUACCGCAUACGACCUACGGGUGAAAGCAGGGGAUCUUCGGACCUUGCGCGAUUGAAUGAGCCGAUGUCGGAUUAGCUAGUUGGCGGGGUAAAGGCCCACCAAGGCGACGAACCGUAGCUGGUCUGAGAGGAUGAUCAGCCACACUGGAACUGAGACACGGUCCAGACGCCUACGGGAGGCAGCAGUGGGGAAUAUUGGACAAUGGGCGCAAGCCUGAUCCAGCCAUACCGCGUGGGUGAAGAAGGCCUUCGGGUUGUAAAGCCCUUUUGUUGGGAAAGAAAAGCAGCAGGUUAAUACCCCGCUGUUCUGACGGUACCCAAAGAAUAAGCACCGGCUAACUUCGUG
rnacentral:rRNA from 1 species